rnacentral:lncRNA from 1 species
AGAAUUUAAGCUGGGUUGGUCUUGGAAUCAAUAUUUUGCACCCCACAAGCUAGGCUAAGAUUGGGAGCUCCCUUAUUUUUCUGAAAAUAUAUAUAUAUAUAUAUAUAUAUAUUUUACCCGAACCUUAAAUUGGAACCUAAACCUGCUUGAAAUCAGAUCGACAGAGUCUGAUCUAAGCCUAGCCCAAGUUAAAGUGUUGUAUUCAGAUUAACAUGAACCAAAUUGCAUUCCUGUGCAGACCACAACUCCUCCAUCUGACACAUUACUGCUUUAAUAAUCGUUCUUUUCACACAUCAAAAUCAGUAGUUUUCCACUCUACCACCUUAUCUUGUCUGUUGUCACUCAUGAACAUCUGGCUUCCCGCAUCAGUGGUCGUGCAUAAUUGCGUAUUCUUCUAGCAGGAGGGGUAUUUAAUUCCUGACAAGAUUGGAACAGAAGUUAUAAUCCUGAACCUCUCAUUUGAAAUAGACACAAAGGAAUUUAUCCCAUCAGCUGGAAAAGAAGACAAAGCAAUUCAAUUAAACCAAGAGUAGCAUAAGAAUUUGUAGCUAAAAUAUACUCUAAAUAUUUUCCAUUAUUUCCAUUCAUAAUUAAUACUAGAGAUCUUAAAAUCAAGGUCGUGGAACACCAUAGCUUGUGAUGGAAAGUGCAAAAUUUUUAUUAGUCUAGUCUAUAGUUAUUUAUUAAAACGCAUCUCAGGGUAUGAGACUCUAGCCACUGCAGGAUGUACGCAGCUUAACUCCCGCAUAAAGAGAGGUUGUUUCCGCUCUUUGUACUGUGAUACACAAAUCACAAAUGAAGACCUUACUGUUGUGCAAUUGCAUGAAACCCUUUAUCAUUAUUUGUAAAAACAAGAUUUCUACAUCCCAGGAAGGAAUGCUCCAAUAACAAAGUUUUACCAUUGUUUGUUCCAAGGUCAUUUGUUAAAAAUCAUUAUUUAUGUCAAAAUGUGAAAGAAAAGUUCGGAAAGUUUGUCCAUUAAGUGAACAAUGACACCGAAAGAACAUCAACAGCUAAGUUCCACUAUUAAAACAUUCAAAGAUGAAUGUAAAUAAUUGCUGAUACGCACACAACAAUAGAUUUAAUUCAGAGAGUGUCAACUGUCAAGCAUUAGACCAUACAAACUAACAGGCCUAGAGAAAGAUGGAUGGCCUUGGAAGAGUUAAAAAGCAUAGGCGAUCCAUAAGAUCAUCUUAUAAUAAAAGGUUUCUGUUUGUAGGUUAAGCACUGCAACUUGUUGAGGCCCU